UAUAGAAUUGAAAAUAAUUUAAAAUAACUAAAAAAAAAAUCAUGAAUUUUGCGACGGAAAAUUCCACUUGAUAUGAACUCAGAAUCAUGGUCUGAAUCAUCCCCAUCAGUAUUCGUUACAAUGUCACUAACACCCUGUAUAUUUUAUUCACAGGAAAUGCAGAGUGCAAUAAACUUUGUAGGAGAUUAUGAUUGCAAUAGAAUAAAAUCGACCAAGCCUGAAGUUCUUCAAUGCACGCAGCAGUGUGACAGCCAGCAAUCAAAAGUUACAAGAUAUCGAGGAAAUGCAGAAGGCAAAAAACUGCGUAGGAGAUUAUUAAUACAAUAGUAUUAUAUCAACCAAGCCUGAUGUCGGUAGCUUCUUCAAUGAAUGCAGCAGUGUGACAGCCAGCAAUCAAUAGUGAUAGUGACAAGAAUCUAGGAAAUACAGAAGACAAAGAAGCAGAUGUCAUCAAAGAAGAUCUUUGUUCCUGCAAUGUUUCCGCAGACGAUACAUCCAACAGAGCGAAGUGGAAGGAAAAGACUCGGAAAAAAGACCCCACCACCAUAUGGGAACAAUGCAAGGGAGAGAGAGAGAAUAUAA